AAAAUAAGUGCACAUCCCCUGACUUGCAAACGCUCAUUUUAAUUCAAACUUUUGUGGGAUAUACUCAUACAAUUCUACGAAAGAAAAUCAAAACCGAUUGGAUAGAGGAAAAACCCGGAAAAGGUGAAUUUUGUUGUAGGCUGGAAUAAUUAUCAUACAACGGCUUCUAUUUUGCUGAAAGCAGUGAAGUAGCAUGUUCAAUUUUUAUAUCCAGUCGCUCGUACUGCAUACAUACUCUCCUAACACACCGACACACUGACUAAGCUGAUGAUACACUCAAGGAAUAACCGUCCACUGUAGAGGCAUCCUCCCCGUGGAAGAUAAUGGAAAUACCUGAGGUAUCACCCCAGUGCCAGAACUAAUAUUCCACCAGUUGCGGUAUUUUCCAAACGCCUGAAAUG